rnacentral:tRNA from 1 species
CAGAGCGUCUGUCUAGUAAACAGAAGGUCGCUGGUUCGAUUCCAGCAUGAGGCA